GACAAGUUCUCGCUGGUCAUCAGGUUCAGGCGGCUGUUUUGACUCACCCUGAGAGAAAGAGAGAAACAGUGAGAACGGAGAAACAUUCGUGUGAGCGAGUUUGAUCGUGUCUUGCCCUGGGGACGGCUCCGAUUCUCACUUGUUCAGGUGUUCACACAAAUAGAUCGGAGUCAGUCUUGACGAUGGCUUCGAUGCUCGAGGACCUUCAAGACCAGUGUUUCUGUAAUCUCAUCGUGUCCUAUUCGAUUCUUUCAAGUAAAAAAAGGCACAGACCCCAAGCUAUUAAGUAUAUACAGAUAUAUUUUUAAUUAUUAACAAAUGUAUGUACCAUAAACGCAUUAUUAAACAACAUGUUCAACCCUGUUAUCAUAAUGAUCCAUUCCUUAAGUUUCCUUAAACUGUAACAUUUUGGAAGCAAAAAUGUACACCCUUUUAACUGGGAAUACAAGUGUACAUGAUUCAAUUUUUUGUGGUUUCUACACAAAUUGUAGAUUUGACUACAUUCGUCAGGCUUAACUUUCAACCCUGUCACCCAAGUUCUGACAACAGGGUUGUAUGUUGCAAAUAAUAUACUGUAGGGGGAAUAAAAAUGCAUCAAAAAUGUAAAUGCUUUAAGUAAAUGCUGUUGUAUAAAGUACUAGAAGUAUAAAUAUGAAAAAAAGAAAACAAAUCAGAUUUUAAAUGGGCAAAAUAAUAGAUAAGAAACUCUUUAAUUCCCGUGUUUACAGUUCAAUAAAAUAAAGGCAAAUUUAUUCAUAAUUGAAAUUCAAAAAUACCAAUUUAAAAGUUAAAUAAAAAAACUAAAUCGUAAACGGACUCAUAAUGCUCCAUAACUGUGCACCAAAUUUGUAGAAAA